rnacentral:rRNA from 1 species
UGGGGAAUAUUGCACAAUGGACGGAAGUCUGAUGCAGCGACGCCGCGUGGAGGAUGACGGCCUUCGGGUUGUAAACUCCUUUCAGCAGGGAAGAAGCCUUUCGGGGUGACGGUACUUGCAGAAGAAGCGCCGGCUAACUACGUGCCAGCAGCCGCGGUAAUACGUAGGGCGCAAGCGUUGUCCGGAAUUAUUGGGCGUAAAGGGCUCGUAGGCGGUUGGUCACGUCUGCUGUGAAAACGCGAGGCUUAACCUCGCGCCUGCAGUGGGUACGGGCUGACUAGAGUGUGGUAGGGGAGGCUGGAAUUCCUGGUGUAGCGGUGGAAUGCGCAGAUAUCAGGAGGAACACCGAUGGCGAAGGCAGGUCUCUGGGCCACUACUGACGCUGAGGAGCGAAAGCAUGGGUAGCGAACAGGAUUAGAUACCCUGGUAGUCCAUGCCGUAAACGGUGGGCACUAGGUGUGGGCUCCGUUUCCACGGGUUCUGCGCCGUAGCUAACGCAUUAAGUGCCCCGCCUGGGGAGUACGGCCGCAAGGCUA